GAUGAACGCUGGCGGCGUGCCUAAUACAUGCAAGUCGAGCGAACAGACGAGGAGCUUGCUCCUCUGACGUUAGCGGCGGACGGGUGAGUAACACGUGGAUAACCUACCUAUAAGACUGGGAUAACUUCGGGAAACCGGAGCUAAUACCGGAUAAUAUAUUGAACCGCAUUGUUCAAUAGUGAAAGACGGUAUUGCUGUCACUUAUAGAUGGAUCCGCGCCGCAUUAGAUAGUUGGUAAGGUAACGGCUUACCAAGGCAAGGAUGCGUAGCCGACCUGAGAGGGUGAUCGGCCACACUAGAACUGAGACACGGUACAGACUCCUACGGGAGGCAGCAGUAGGGAAUCUUCCGCAAUGGGAGAAAGCCUGACGGAGCAACGCCGCGUGAGUGAUGUAGGUCUUCGGAUCGGAAAACUCUGUUAUUAGGGAAGAACAAAUGUGUAAGUAACUAUGCACGUCUUGACGGUACCUAAUCAGAAAGCCACGGCUAACUACGUG
rnacentral:rRNA from 1 species